UACGUAGGGUGCAAGCGUUAAUCGGAAUUACUGGGCGUAAAGCGUGCGCAGGCGGUUGUGCAAGACCGAUGUGAAAUCCCCGGGCUCAACCUGGGAAUGGCAUUGGUGACUGUACGGCUAGAGUGUGUCAGAGGGGGGUAGAAUUCCACGUGUAGCAGUGAAAUGCGUAGAGAUGUGGAGGAAUACCGAUGGCGAAGGCCAGCCCCCUGGGAUAACACUGACGCUCAUGCACGAAAGCGUGGGGAGCAAACAGG
rnacentral:rRNA from 1 species